rnacentral:tRNA from 1 species
GUGCCACUAGCUCAGUCGGUAGAGCACUCGACUUUUAAUCGAGUUGUCACGAGUUCGAAUCUCGUAUGGCACA